UGGGGAAUAUUGGACAAUGGGCGAAAGCCUGAUCCAGCCAUGCCGCGUGUGUGAAGAAGGUCUUCGGAUUGUAAAGCACUUUAAGUUGGGAGGAAGGGCAGUAAGCGAAUACCUUGCUGUUUUGACGUUACUGACAGAAUAAGCACCGGCUAACUCCGUGCCAGCAGCCGCGGUAAUACAGAGGGUGCAAGCGUUAAUCGGAAUUACUGGGCGUAAAGCGCGCGUAGGUGGUUCGUUAAGUUGAAUGUGAAAGCCCCGGGCUCAACCUGGGAACUGCAUCCAAAACUGGCGAGCUAGAGUAGGGCAGAGGGUGGUGGAAUUUCCUGUGUAGCGGUGAAAUACGUAGAUAUAGGAAGGAACACCAGUGGCGAAGGCGACCACCUGGGCUCAUACUGCCACUGAGGUGCGAAAGCGUGGGGGGCAAACAGG
rnacentral:rRNA from 1 species